rnacentral:rRNA from 1 species
GAGGGGCAGCGGGGGAGGAAGCUUGCUUUCUCCUGCCGGCGACCGGCGCACGGGUGAGUAACACGUAUGCAACCUGGCCGUCACAGGUGGAUAACCGGAAGAAAUUCCGACUAAUACAGCAUAACACUCCUGAGGGACAUCCUUUGGGAGUCAAAGGAGGCGACUCCGGUGACGGAUGGGCAUGCGGCGCAUUAGGUAGUUGGUAGGGUAACGGCCUACCAAGCCGACGAUGCGUAGGGGUUCCGAGAGGAAGGUCCCCCACAUUGGAACUGAGACACGGUCCAAACUCCUACGGGAGGCAGCAGUGAGGAAUAUUGGUCAAUGGCCGGAAGGCUGAACCAGCCAAGUCGCGUGAGGGAAUAAGGCCCUAUGGGUCGUAAACCUCUUUUGUCAGGGAGCAAAGGCGUCCACGAGUGGACGAAAGGAGAGUACCUGAAGAAAAAGCAUCGGCUAACUCCGUGCCAGCAGCCGCGGUAAUACGGAGGAUGCGAGCGUUAUCCGGAUUUAUUGGGUUUAAAGGGUGCGUAGGCGGAGUGUCAAGUCAGCGGUAAAAUUUCGGGGCUCAACCCCGUCGUGCCGUUGAAACUGACACCCUUGAGUGAGUGAGAAGUAAGCGGAAUGCGUGGUGUAGCGGUGAAAUGCAUAG